GCGCGAUAGCUCAGUUGGUAGAGCAGUGGUCUCAUUAUCCGGUGACCUGGGUUCGAAACCAAGUCGAUGCG
rfam:Strongylocentrotus purpuratus Contig129294_fixed, whole genome shotgun sequence.